UUCAUCAGGUGAUGAAAUCUUGAAAUGAAAUCUUAGGACACCUUCCUACACAGCCCCAUUCGUUGGGUUGUGGAUGAGAAAACAUUUCAAUUCUGAUGAUGAU